GUCCUCCAGUUUUAGGAAUGCAG
rnacentral:piRNA from 1 species